AGGCCCCGCCCCGCCGCUGAGGGCCGAGACCCCCAACCGGUGAAGGGGCGCGGUCUGCUUGGGGGUCCUGCCAUUCUGGACCCCUGCGGAGACCUGGAAUUUUCUUUUUCGCCGCCCCACCUCCCACCACCAUCUCACCCCACCGCCAUGGAGAAGAGGCAGGAAAGGCCGUUGACAAACGGGGACACUGAGGCUCGAACACCCUGCCCUGUCUAGGGCCUCAGCCCUCGGCAGCCCGGCCUCCCGGGGAGCAGGAGGCGCCUUGUGUUUCAGGGUUUCAAAGGACGUCCGCAUCUGGUUUCUCUUUCCAGGCCGCUACAUGCCAGCGGGGGUUCCAGGCAAGGCAGAGGGCUGCCUCCUGCCCCUCCAGCCACCACAGUCCACCCUCCCCAGCAGCCCGAGGGAUCUUUCUAGAAGGCCUGACCAAGCCCUUCCCCUGCCGGGAGCCUCCCAGGCUGUCCUUCGAAUAAAGUCCAGGUUGCUUAUCAGA
rnacentral:lncRNA from 1 species